UUGACUAUUAAAAUGAUGAUAGUUGACAGUCUUGGAAUUGGUAGAAUCCACACCAGAGAAAUUUUCAUCAAAACGGUGGUAACAAGAUUGAACCACAUGGACGAUCUUUCUACACAACUGACACUGUAGCCUGUAACGUGACCAACCUCGACCAGUACCACGUGUCUACCACGAGACCAACCUCGACCAUGCCCUCGCUGCCUUAUUUUGAAAUCUUGAG
rnacentral:lncRNA from 1 species